rnacentral:rRNA from 1 species
CCUACGGGACGCAGCAGUGAGGAAUAUUGGUCAAUGGGCGAGAGCCUGAACCAGCCAAGUCGCGUGAGGGAGUACUGCCCUAUGGGUUGUAAACUUCUUUUAUAUGGGAAUAAAACAGGGUAUGCAUACCCUCUUGUAUGUACCAUAUGAAUAAGGAUCGGCUAACUCCGUGCCAGCAGCCGCGGUAAUACGGAGGAUCCGAGCGUUAUCCGGAUUUAUUGGGUUUAAAGGGAGCGUAGGUGGAUUGUUAAGUCAGUUGUGAAAGUUUGCGGCUCAACCGUAAAAUUGCAGUUGAAACUGGCAGUCUUGAGUACAGUAGAGGUGGGCGGAAUUCGUGGUGUAGCGGUGAAAUGCUUAGAUAUCACGAAGAACUCCGAUUGCGAAGGCAGCUCACUGGACUGCAACUGACACUGAUGCUCGAAAGUGUGGGUAUCAAACAGGAUUAGAUACCCUUGUAGUC